AUCAAUUUUGGUUUGUGGAUAAAAUGGCUUAAUAUUUGCUUCCACAUAACUCUUAGCAUAGCCUAUGUCCAAUAAUUUGGGAAUUUCACCAUUUGGGACAGUAACAGUAACUGAAAUUCCUGUGUUGGCAAAAGCUCUUAAGAUAUCUGGAUUAACGUCGAAAAUCUUGAUUUUGUCGAUUAUGGUUUUGUCUUUGAGAAAUUGAGCAACUUGAGAUGGUGGAGGUAGGUUGUUGCCAAGGGUGCCAUAGUUAACACCUAUGGACAGUAACUGAGAUUCUUAGCAAACGCUCUUAAGAUAUCUGGAUUAACGUCGAAAAUCUGGAUUUUGUCGAUUAUGGUUUUGUCUUUGAGAAAUUGAGCAACUUGAGAUGGUGGAGGUAGGUUGUUGCCAAGGGUGCCAUAGUUAACACCUAUGGAGGAAACAUAAGGAAAACACUGAAUAAAGAUAGCUGAAAUGAAC
rnacentral:lncRNA from 1 species